GAGUUUGAUCAUGGCUCAGGAUGAACGCUGGCGGCGUGCCUAAUACAUGCAAGUCGAACGAGGUGCUUUUUGUAGCAAUACGAGGAGUAUCCUAGUGGCGAACGGGUGAGAAAAAAAAAGGUGACCUACCCCAAAGUGUGGAAUAACAGUCCGAAAGGAUUGCUAAUGCCGCAUGUGGUCUGCGAGUUUAGAAAUCGUUGACUAAAGGAGCAAUCCGCUUUGGGAGGGACCUGCGUCCCAUCAGCUAGUUGGCGAGGUAACGGCUCACCAAGGCGACGACGGGUAGGGGACCUGAGAGGGUGGCCCCCCACAAUGGAACUGAAACACGGUCCAUACACCUACGGGUGGCAGCAGUAGGGAAUAUUGCACAAUGGGCGAAAGCCUGAUGCAGCAACGCCGCGUGCGCGAUGAAG
rnacentral:rRNA from 1 species